CCUACGGGAGACAGCAGUGGGGAAUAUUGGGCAAUGGGCGCAAGCCUGACCCAGCAACGCCGCGUGAAGGCAGAAGGCUUUCGGGUUGUAAACUUCUUUUCUCAGGGACGAAGCAAGUGACGGUACCUGACGAAUAAGCCACGGCUAACUACGUGCCAGCAGCCGCGGUAAUACGUAGGUGGCAAGCGUUAUCCGGAUUUACUGGGUGUAAAGGGCGUGUAGGCGGGGACGCAAGUCAGAUGUGAAAACCACGGGCUCAACCUGUGGCCUGCAUUUGAAACUGUGUUUCUUGAGUACUGGAGAGGCAGACGGAAUUCCUAGUGUAGCGGUGAAAUGCGUAGAUAUUAGGAGGAACACCAGUGGCGAAGGCGGUCUGCUGGACAGCAACUGACGCUGAGGCGCGAAAGCGUGGGGAGCAAACAGGAUUAGAUACCCUUGUAGUC
rnacentral:rRNA from 1 species